UCCGGCUUAACGCCGGCGGUCCCUUUAGAGUGCUCGACAUAACUCGGUAGCAACUAACGGCGGGGGUUGCGCUCGUUGCGGGACUUAACCCAACAUCUCACGACACGAGCUGACGACAGCCAUGCAACACCUGAACCGGCAGUCCCCGAAGGGAAAGUCCUAUCUCUAGGAUUGUCCACUGCGCUUCGAGCCCAGGUAAGGUUCUUCGCGUUGCGUCGAAUUGAACCACAUGCUCCACCGCUUGUGCGGGCCCCCGUCAAUUCCUUUGAGUUUCAGUCUUGCGACCGUACUCCCCAGGCGGCGAACUUAACGCGUUAGCUUCGACACUGAGUGGCUAAGUCCACCCAACGUCCAGUUCGCAUCGUUUAGGGCGUGGACUAC
rnacentral:misc_RNA from 1 species